rnacentral:rRNA from 1 species
AUGGCCGGGGGUUUGUGGAAGAGGGUCAGAAACACGUUCGCCAAAGUCCCUGAAAUUGUGCGCCUCGUCCACGACAUGCGAGUCGGUGGUUGCCACGAGGAGUUCCGGACAGCGAGGGAGCAGUGCCGCCGCGAACGGGAACGGCUGAGAGACAUGGCCGACGGGAAGCCCGGAGAGGGAGAGGUGGCCUCGUGCGCCAAGGCGACGGCGGCGCUGCGCAAGUGCAUGGAGGGCAAGGACGUCUUGGCCAAGCACCUUGUUGCAAUGGAUGACGGCAUCAGGGAGGAUGAGUGGCGGGGGUGGGAUCCCUAUAUGCAGGCCAAGCGGGCCGCGAGGUUUAGAUGGUGGACGGGCAUGAGCAAGUGUGAAGAAGACCACUACUAG